rnacentral:rRNA from 1 species
CUGGGGAGGAUCGUUAUCGUAUAACCGGGGGGGCUGGGGGCUGUCGCGUGACCUUGCCCUCGUAAGGGGGUCGUGCACGCCUCUAGCAUUCUCAACGAACCGAAUACAGCCCCUCUUGUGCAUCACCGCGUGGGCUCCCUUAAAAGAGAAAAGGGGUGCGCGUUUUUCCGCAGCAAACGAUCAGUAGUUGUAGAAUGUCUUUUCUGUUUUGCGACURGUGCGCAAAUAAAAUAAAACAACUUUCAACAACGGAUCUCUUGGCUCGCGCAUCGAUGAAGAACGCAGCGAAAUGCGAUACGUAAUGUGAAUUGCAGAAUUCAGUGAAUCAUCGAAUCUUUGAACGCAUCUUGCGCCCCUUGGUAUUCCGAGGGGCACACCCGGUUUGAGGGUCGGUGAAAUCUUCGAGAGCGCUUUUACCGUUUCUUGGAAUCGGGAGAAGGCUUGGACUUUGGAGGCGAUUGCUGAUCUCUUAUCUGAAGUCAGCUCCUCUGUAAAUGAAUUAGCGAGGUUGUCCUUUUGCCGAUCCUCGGUGUGAUAAGUUUGCUUUUACAUCUUUGAGUUUCCCUCUACCCCUCUCAAGUCCUUGCUUCUUAACCGUUUCAAGUCAAAACUCAANAAACCCCCCCCCCCCCCCUUUGACCUCAAAUCGGGUGAGACUACCCGCUGAACUUAAGCAUAUCAAUAAGCGGAGGAAAAGAAACUAACAAGGAUUCCCCUAGUAACUGCGAGUGAAGCGGGAAAAGCUCAAAUUUAAAAUCUGACGGUCUUUGGCCGUCCGAGUUGUAAUUUAGAGAAGCGUCUUCCGCGUCGAGCCAUGCACAAGUCUCCUGGAAUGGAGCAUCAUAGAGGGUGAGAAUCCCGUCUUUGGCAUGGACCCUUCGAUGCUUUUGUGAUGCGCUCUCGAAGAGUCGAGUUGUUUGGGAAUGCAGCUCAAAAUGGGUGGUGAACUCCAUCUAAAGCUAAAUAUUGGCGAGAGACCGAUAGCGAACAAGUACCGUGAGGGAAAGAGAAAAGC